UACGUAGGGUGCGAGCGUUAAUCGGAAUUACUGGGCGUAAAGCGCACGUAGGCGGCUUCUUAAGUCGGUGGUGAAAUCCUGGAGCUCAACUCCAGAACUGCCUUCGAUACUGGGAAGCUCGAGUCCGGGAGAGGUGAGUGGAACUGCGAGUGUAGAGGUGAAAUUCGUAGAUAUUCGCAAGAACACCAGUGGCGAAGGCGGCUCACUGGCCCGGUACUGACGCUGAGGUGCGAAAGCGUGGGGAGCAAACAGG
rnacentral:rRNA from 1 species